rnacentral:sRNA from 1 species
CCGGGUUCCUGGUCGGGGAGCGGCUCCGGGCGGCAGCCAUGAGGCGGGACGUGCGCAUCCUGUUACUGGGCGAGGCCCAGGUGGGGAAGACGUCGCUGAUCCUGUCCCUGGUGGGCGAGGAGUUCCCCGAGGAGGUAAAGGGCACGCCCGCCGCGGGGGUGGGAGCGGGCCCAGCCGGGGGUCCCUGGUGAGCGCGCGGGUCCCUUGCAGGUCCCUCCCCGCGCGGAGGAGAUCACGAUCCCCGCGGACGUCACCCCGGAGAAGGUGCCCACCCACAUCGUGGACUACUCAGAAGCCGAGCAGACGGACGAGGAGCUGCGCGAGGAGAUCCACAAGAUUCGAACUAAGUGGAUCCCACUGGUGAAUGGGGGGACCACGCGGGGGCCCAGGUAAUGAGGGGGAUGUGGAAGGGGCUGGGACCCCCGGCUCCCCUGCCCCUGGUGACCAUGGGCCUUCAACCCAGGGUGCCCAUCAUCCUAGUGGGCAACAAGUCAGACCUGCGGUCGGGGAGCUCCAUGGAGGCCGUGCUCCCCAUCAUGAGCCAGUUUCCGGAGAUCGAGACCUGCGUGGAGUGUUCGGCCAAGAACCUGAGAAACAUCUCAGAGCUGUUCUACUACGCCCAGAAGGCUGUCCUGCACCCCACAGCCCCUCUCUAUGACCCUGAGGCCAAGCAGUUGAGGCCCGCGUGCGCCCAGGCACUGACGCGCAUCUUCAGGCUCUCAGAUCAGGACCUGGACCAGGCGCUCAGUGACGAAGAGCUCAACGCUUUCCAGAAAUCCUGCUUUGGGCACCCCCUGGCCCCACAGGCCCUGGAGGACGUGAAGACGGUGGUGUGCAGGAACGUGGCGGGCGGCGUGUGGGAGGACCGACUGACCCUGGAUGGUGAGGCUGGGUGCCCGCCUGUGCCUGGGGAGUGUGGGGAGGGGGCUGUGCCUGGUGCUCCCCCUGCUCUGUCUCGGUGCAGGUUUCCUCUUCCUGAACACGCUCUUCAUCCAGCGCGGGCGGCACGAGACCACGUGGACCAUCCUGCGGCGCUUCGGCUACAGCGAUGCACUGGAGCUGACAGCCGACUAUCUCUUCCCUCCGCUCCACGUGCCCCCCGGCUGCAGCACUGAGCUCAACCACCUUGGCUACCAGUUUGUGCAAAGAGUAUUUGAGAAGCACGACCAGGUGAGAGCAUGGCGACUCCCCUGCCCCUGCCCCCGCCCCCUCCCCGGCACACACAUCACCGCAUCCCUCCUUCUGCAGGACCGAGACGGCGCCCUCUCGCCUGUGGAGCUGCAAAGCCUCUUCAGUGUGUUCCCAGCAGCCCCCUGGGGCCC